AGAAUUUGAUCCUGGUUCAGGAUGAAUGCUGGCAGUGUACCUUAAGCAUGCAAGUCGAACGGAUGAGGCCGCAAGGCCAAAUCAGUGGCAGACGGGUGAGGAUUGACAGGAACCUACCUUUUGUUGGGGAAUAGCUCGCCGAAAGGCGAGAUAAUACCGCAUAAGAUCGCAAGAUGAAAGGCCUUAACCGGCCGACGAUAGAUGGGCCUGUUUGCUAUCAGCUAGUUGGUGAGGUAAUGGCUCACCAAGGCUAUGACGGCUAGGGGACGUGAGAGCGUGGUCCCCCACAAUGUUACUUAGACACGGAACAUACACCUACGGGUGGCAGCAACUGGGAAUUUUGCACAAUGGACGAAAGUCUGAUGCAGUGACACUGCGUGUAGGAUGAAGGCCCUCGGGUCGUAAACUACUGUGAUAGGGGAAAAAAUUUUGAUGGUACCCUAUUAGAAAGUACUUGCUAACUACGUGCCAGAAGCCUCGGUAAUACGUAGAGUACAAGCAUUAUCCGGAUUUAUUGGGCGUAAAGAGUAUCGUAGGCGGUCUAUUAAGUAACGGGUUAAAGCCCGGGGCUCAACCCCGGAGAUGUCCGUUAAACUGGUAGACUUGUGGAUGUUCGGGGUUACUAGAAUUCUUGGUGGAAGAGUGAAAUCUGUUGAUAUCAAGAAGAAUACCAAAAGCGAAGGCAGGUAACUAGGACAUUCCAGACGCUGAUGAACGAAAGCUAGGGGAGCGAAAGGGAUUUUGACUAGUCCCAUCACGCAGUAAUGCGUGAUUAAAGAAUCGGCUAUAUCGGUGAAAGUCCUUGCGGUUUCGGUUUACUUUCGGGUAUACUGAAUAAGUGAGGAAAACACCGAGGGAAGUUUUUAACUAUAAGAAGAAUGAAUUUUGUUUAACUAAAACUCAAAGGAGCGUUUUAAUUGGAACAAUGUUAGGUGAUAGUGGGUUGAGAUUUCGGGGAAUAAAUUGUCGUUUGCAUAUCAAGCAUAGUCUUAAACAGCUAAGUUUGGUGAAUUACAAAUGGCGUAUUUUUGAACCUAUUAUUUCAAUGAAAGUAAGAUGUUUCAGUCAGAAAGUCGGCAUGAAAGACUACAACUUUGCCGAGUUUGUGACUUUAACUCAUCCUAUUUUUACCUAUUAUUACCAGUUGUUUUAUAAAAACCACAAGAAAGUUGUUGUCGAUGAGAUGGCAACUGCAAUUGAUCCUUUGGUACUGGCUGUUUGGAUUAUGGAUGAUGGAUCUGCAGAAUAUGCUGGUUUAUCAAUCCAA
rnacentral:rRNA from 1 species